rnacentral:rRNA from 1 species
UAGGGAAUCUUCCACAAUGGGCGAAAGCCUGAUGGGGCAACGCCGCGUGUGUGAUGAAGGGUUUCGGCUCGUAAAACACUGUUGUAAGAGAAGAAUGACAUUGAGAGUAACUGUUCAAUGUGUGACGGUGUCUUACCAGAAAGGAACGGCUAAAUACGUGCCCG